rnacentral:rRNA from 1 species
GUGGGGAAUAUUGGACAAUGGGCGAAAGCCUGAUCCAGCCAUGCCGCGUGAGUGAUGAAGGCCUUAGGGUUGUAAAGCUCUUUCAGUAGGGAAGAUAAUGACGGUACCUACAGAAGAAGCCCCGGCUAACUUCGUGCCAGCAGCCGCGGUAAUACGAAGGGGGCUAGCGUUGUUCGGAUUUACUGGGCGUAAAGCGCACGUAGGCGGAUUGGUCAGUUAGAGGUGAAAUCCUGGAGCUCAACUCCAGAACUGCCUUUAAUACUGCCAGUCUAGAGGCCAGAAGAGGUGAGUGGAACUCCUAGUGUAGAGGUGGAAUUCGUAGAUAUUAGGAAGAACACCAGUGGCGAAGGCGGCUCACUGGUCUGGUACUGACGCUGAGGUGCGAAAGCGUGGGGAGCAAACAGGAUUAGAAACCCCGGUAGUCC